rnacentral:lncRNA from 1 species
CAGGUUCGAAGAAAUGAAAAGUUGCACUCUGUCAAAACUAAGUAGCAGUAUUAUGUAAGCCAACUUAAAGGAAUUUAGAAUAGCACUGUUACUAUUUUACUUAUAUCACAUACCUAGAGUACCGCCGAUUAUAUUUCAUAUUCUAAGGAUAGAAUUGCCUCUGGCAUCACAAAUUGAAAAAUACAGUCCACUACUCCAUGCAACUGAUAGUCUUAUAGUCAUUGAACAAUAAUCGUGAAGAUUCAGUUUUUGUGAUUAUUGUGAGAUCAUUAUAUGAGUCGGUUUUAUGCUAGAAAGGAUGAAACCUCAAAAGGGGAGUUACACACCUUGCUCAAGCUAUGC